GCCGAAGUAGCUCAGUUGGUAGAGCAUCCCGCCUGUAGCGGGAAGGUCGCGGAUUCAAUCCCGGUCUUUGAUC
rnacentral:tRNA from 1 species